rnacentral:rRNA from 1 species
AGUGAACGCUGGCGGUAGGCCUAACACAUGCAAGUCGAACGGCAGCACAGUAAGAGCUUGCUCUUACGGGUGGCGAGUGGCGGACGGGGGAGGAAUACAUCGGAAUCUACUUUUUCGGGGGGGAUAACGUAGGGAAACUUACGCUAAUACCGCAUACGACCUCCGGGGGAAAGCAGGGGAUCUUCUGACCUUGCGCGAUUGAAUGAGCCGAUGUCGGAUUAGCUAGUUGGCGGGGUAAAGGCCCACCAAGGCGACGAUCCGUAGCUGGUCUGAGAGGGUGGUCAGCCACACUGGAACUGAGACACGGUCCAGACUCCUACGGGAGGCCGCAGUGCGGAAUAUUGGACGAUGGGCGCAAGCCUGAUCCAGCCAUACCGCGUGGGUGAAGAAGGCCUUCGGGUUGUAAAGCCCUUUUGUUGGGAAAGAAAAGCAGCAGGUUAAUACCCCGCUGUUCUGACGGUACCCAAAGAAUAAGCACCGGCUAACUUCGUG